AUUGAACGCUGGCGGCAGGCCUAACACAUGCAAGUCGAACGAGUGGCGGACGUGUGAGUAAUGUCUGGGAAACUGCCUGAUGGAGGGGUAUAACUACUGGAAGCGGUCGCUAAUACCGCAUACCAUCAGAUGUGCCCAUAUGGGAUUAGCUUGGUGGUGGGGUAACGGCUCACCAAGGCGACUAUCCCUAGCUGGUCUGAGAGGAUGACCAGCCACACUGGAACGGAGACAGGGUCCAGACUCCUACGGGAGGCAGCAGUGGGGAAUAUUGCACAAUGGGCGCAAGCCGGAUGCAGCCAUGCCGCGUGUAUGAAGAAGGCCUUCGGGUUGUAAAGUACUGUCAGCGGGGAGGCGUUACCCGCAGAAGAAGCACCGGCUAACUCCGUGCCAACAGCCGCGGUAAUUC
rnacentral:rRNA from 1 species